rnacentral:lncRNA from 1 species
AAAGCGCGACGAGAGGCGGCCGAGGCGGCCGGUGGGCGCGGCGCCAGCCCCGGCGGCGCGUUCCUGGCAGCGGCCCCUCCCCGCCGCGCGCUCCGCCCCCAACUUCUCAUUCACACUUUCCCCCCACCCCCCUCCCUUCUAAGAAGGCUGAUUUCUGGCAGAGGCGGGGGCGCCGCUUCGGGAGAGCGGGCAGUUCUAGGAGGCCGACCUGGAGAGCCUCCCGGUUCCCCUUCCCCUUUUCCCGGACCCCGCGGGGACACCCCCUCGCCGCCACCCGGGCCUCCCCGAGGGCCCAACUGCGGGUCAGGCGGCCCGGGCCAGCCGAAAGGGAAGUGGGGCUACCCCACAGCCAGGCAGCGGGGCUGGGGUCAGACCCGGGAGCCGGAGGUUGGAGACGUGCGACAGUCACCUGCGGGCAGAUUCCAGAGGGGAGACCCAGGGCUGCAGGGGACGCCCCUUCGUGGCAGCUACCCAGCCUCGGCCCACUGCCAGGCGGAGGCGAGAGGAUCACUUGAGCAUGGACAUUCAAGACCAGCCUGGGCAGCAAAUGUUACGUGGCUGCAUGACCAUACACUUCUGGGUAGAGCCCAGUGGAAGACAAAGAAGACUCAAGGAAUAGCCCUUGAGGUAAUGGAUGAGAAAGUGCUUUGUAAAUUACAAUGCUCUGACACAAGUCAAGUUCAUUCAUCCAUUCCAUAAACCUCUGCCGAGAGCCUGCUUUUGCCAGGCACAGGGCGAAGUGCUGGAAGACAGAAGUGCUGGGUGAAUCCUGCAGGGGGAGAUGGCCAAGGCAAUCGGCAUGGAGCCCCCAGGUGAUGAGUGAGGUGGGAGGUGCGGGGCUCCCUGCCUGCUCAUCUCAGCAGGAGAUCCAACUGCUGUUCGGGCUCUAUCACCCAGUAGCUGUGUGACUUUAGGCAAUCUGCCUUACCAGCUGUGCCUCGGUUUCCUUAUUUGUAAAAUGGUUGGAGAGUAGUACCUACCUCACUGAGUUGUCUGGAGCUCCCACAUGCAAAAUGCUUAGAGUGGUGCCUUGCACAUAGGAAGUGCUCAAUGCAUAUUAACUGUCAUGAUUUUGAAAGCACUGGGGAGGCUUUGAGGAGAGGGAGGAGUGAGCUGAGCUGCUGCAGCUUGGGCUCAUAGGGUUGGCUAUGGAUGUAAGCUGCCUUGUUUUGGGGAACCGUACAUCUCCUAUGGAAGAUACAUUCCAAAAAGCUGCUUGUCUUGAAACAGGUCAGCCAGCCACCAAGCUUCUUUUUUUUUUUUUUGAGACGGAGUCCCACCUGUCACCCAGGCUGGAGUGCAGUGGUGCCAUCUCGGCUCACUGCAACCUCCGCCUCCCAGGUUUAAGUGAUUCUCUUGCCUCAGUCUCCCGAGUACUUGGGAUUACAGGCAUGUGCCACCAUGCCUGGCUAAUUUUUUUGUAUUUUUAGUAGAGACAGGGUUUCGCUAUGUUGGCCAGGCUGGUCUCGAACUCCUGACCUCAGGUGAUCCGCCUGCCUUGGCCUCCCAAAGUGCUGGGAUUACGGGCAUGAGCCAUCGUGCCUGGCCUUCCCUUUGGCAUUCUAAUCUCUCCCAUGGUUUCCCAUCACUUUCUGGAUGAAUCCAGACUCCUCGGUGCAGUGUGUGUCCCACGCUGCUCCAUGUCAGUUUCAUCGGCUGCCACUGCCUCAGCGACUGGUGCCUCGUGCUCUAGCUACAUGGAGCUCCAAGCUGUCCAGAAGGUAACGUUCCUCAGUCCUGGGUUUCUGCACAUUUGCUUCCCUGUCUGGGGACAAGGAGGGAACUACCUUCCACACCUUGGCUGAUUUCUACUUUUCCUUUAAAAUUUGGCAGACGGGCUGGGCGUGGUGGCACGUGCCAGUAAUCCCAGCACUUUGGGAGGCCGAGGUGGGAGGAUUGCUUGAGCUCAGGAGUUUGAGACCAGCUUGGGCAACAUAGUGGAGACUCCAUCUCUACAAAAAAUUUUAAAAAUUAGCCGGGCAUGGUGGUGCGCGCCUGUGGUCCCAGCUACUCAGGAGGCUGAGGUGGGAGGAUCGCUUGAGCCCAGCAGGUAGAGCCUGCGGUGAGCUAUGAUUGUGCCGCAGCAUUCCAGCCUGGAAGACAGAGUGAGACUCUGUCUCCAAAAAAAAGACGGAAAAAGGCAGACACUCUAAACUUCCAGGUAGCUCUUUUUGCAUUAACCAAAAUGUUCUGACUAUAUCUCCAGUGAGGAUCUUGGGGAAACAGACUAUAUUUGAUUUUUUUUUCUUUUUAAGACUGGAACCUGGUACGUAGAAUGAAUCUCUAAGUCAAGGAUGAUGUUGACUUCUUUCCAUUGUUUUUAGAGACCACAACCUGCUUUCUUCUAGAGUACUUUUUGGUUUUCCAUGCAGGGCUCAGGAGCUAUACAGAUGGGAUAGAGGGUGUGAGUGCUGGGAAGCCCCAUCCAUGGCUCGCUGGAGAUUAGAGGCCUGUUAAUCUGAAGACAAAGGAAUGAAGACGAAAACGUUUCUGAAAAUGUGGGUGGAGACACCUGGGCCUUUACAGGGUACGCUCCAGAGCUGCUUCCAGGCAGGGACCCCGGCUGAGAGAAGCCAGAGCCAGAGAGUCGCAGGCUUGCUUGCUCUUAUCUUCCCUCUGCUGGGGGGGUCGAGGGGAGAUCUGGCCCCUCUGCUCUGCCCUCCUGAUUUCCCGUCUAAGGGAUUUAGGAGACUUUUGCCUUUUCCUAAUCUCUCCCUUUGCAGAAUUUCUGCGAAGUCACAAUCCCAUUUCCAGGCAAAGGUGCUUGGUCAUAAAGAUAAUAAAGAUAUUCAUUCAUGAUGGAGGGGAAGUACACAGUGGUUUCAGCUGCCUGUAGGGCUCCACUUACUCAUGGUGUGUGACAGAUGCUGAGCCCUUCCCCAAAUCUCAUGGAUGGGAAGGAAACCUGGCGCCGCGGGGUGGUCGCGGGAAGCCGUGGCAUGGCUUGGUGAACACAGGCUCGCCGACCCGGGGGCGGAUGCUGAGGUUGCCAUUGUUGGUGGCUGCAUCUGCAGUAGACGGGUCGGGAUGCCGGCCUCAGACCACAGCGUUGCUAAAUGCCAAACCCAAGGCCUCCCCGUCUUUAACACUGCUGGGCAUUCUACAGCGCAAGGAGGCAGCUGGGGCUGGACUGCCCAGUGCCUGCCGUUGACUGUGCGUCUUCUGCCUGUGAGCUAGCCUGCCACACCUGGGGAUACACGGUGGGGAAAUCAAUCAGCUUCCCUCCCUUCUAGAGCUUCAGGUCCGGCGUUGGUGUCUAGAGGCAAGGGGAGGAGGCAGGGAGGCCUCUUCUUUUCUGUCCCCCUUUCUCUUGGCCAAUUUGGAGGAGAUGGUGGGGGACCUGUCUCUCAUCUGACCUCCUGGAAGCCCUGCCUGCUGCUCCAGUGUGGCUCUCCCAGGGCUGAGGCCUGGAACCUAGGGCUGGGCUACCUGGGGUGCUCAGCUCUGCCGCACCCCAGCCCUCCUCGGCUGCAGCCCUGGCUUCUUUUCUUACCCACUGGGAUGGCCCGUGGGACUAACCUUGCAGCCUGCAGGACUAUGGCCCAGAUGACCUUUCCGGAGCAGGGGAAGAGUUCACAGGUCUCAGACCAGGUUGACCCCGAGCCCUCUCUUUCCUGCUUCGCAUAGGGGCGGGCCAAGGGAGGCAGGGACAAUGGCAUUCCUGUUUGCAGGCCUUUGUUCCCGCCAGGAGGGCCCCCGGAGCUAAUAAAAAGGUUUGUGGCUCCGAUGUCUAAGAGGCAGUGGAGGAGUUCUUUCAAGCCUGACAUUCCAGGCCCAGCCGGCCUCUGGCAUUUCCCAGAAAAACUUCGAGGAGGGGAGGGGAAAGAAAACACUUGAGGGACCCACCCACCUACCCACUGCCCGCCUUCUCGGAUUCCUCGUUCCCUCUGGGGAUUGGGCUGGGCCGGAGUGCCAGGACCCCUGCCCUGGGGGGCCCAUUCCUCCACCCACAGAGGGGCCCUGGGAAGUGUUGAGAGGGUGAGAGUGGGUAAGUGGGGGGUGACUCUAGGAGGGUGCAGAGAGGAUGAAAUGUUGGGGGCGCAGUGAGAAGAGGAGGAAAGUUUCUUCCCACUUUGUCAAAAAGGAAUCCACAUCUGCUACAAGUUUGGAGUUGGAGGGUGGGGAGUGAGGAGUUAGCUCCUAGCCAAUAUCUCCUCUGACCCCAAACCGACAAAUGCUGCUCUGUCCGAGGCUGGGGUGGGAAGAGUUUUUAUUUGCCCUGAAGCAGCUGCGGGAACAGACAUCAGGGCAGCAGGGCAGUUCUGGGAAGUGAGGCUGUGGUGAACCAUCUGGGCGGCAAUGCAGACGAGGCAGUGCCCAGGACGGGGAGAGCCCGGGAGGGGGCGAGGAGGCCAUGCUGUCUCUGGGAGACGUGCCUCUUGGGAUGUCCUGGGCCCAGGCGCCCUUGGAGAGGCAGGAGCUGGUGGGGGACCAGCUGAGUGCAGCUGUUCGGCUCGCCCUGCAAUACUGCAGUUGGGCUGGCUGCUGGAGCCAAGUGGUCACGGUCAGGUGCCCUGACUCUCCUGGGGCUCUGGGGCAGGUGCUCCUCAUGACCAUGGUGUGCCUGCAGCCUCUGGUCAAGCUCCUGCAGCCCGGGCGCAGGCUUCCUUCUGAGCCUCUCACCCUCUGGGAAGUCCCUGCCUCCUCCGCAGUGUGAAGCACCCCUGGUAUGCACUGUGCCGUGCACUGAUUCUUGGGCAAGUUCAAAUAGAAAAUGAUAGGCUGGGUGUGGUGGCUCACGCCCGUAAUCCCAGCACUUUGGGAGGCCAAGGCUGGUGGAUCACCUGAGGUCAGGAGUUCCAGACCAGCCUGGCCAACAUGGUGAAACCCUGUCUCUACUAAAAAUACAAAAUUAGCUGGGCGCAGUGGCGCAUGCCUGUAAUCCUAGCCCCUCAGGAGACUGAGGCAGGAGAAUCGCUUCAAACUGGGAGGUGGAGAUUUACAGUGAGCUGAGAUUGUGCCAUUGCGCUCCAGCCUGGGCGACAAGAGCAAAACUCCGUCUCAAAAAAAAGAAAAAUGUAAAAGCAAAAGAAAAAAAGAAAAUAAUACCCUCUCUCUGGCUCCCAAGAUCCUGAACCAACUUUGAAGGCAGAGAAGUGGGCUAGAAGAAGUGGGGUUGGAGCCUCCACCAAGGACAAGAAGGUGAGACUCUAAGGCGUCUAAGGUGAAACUGGGGCAGCUAUCCCCACGUGUUCCUUCCUCCCUCCCCCUUGCCGGCACUGUACUCACUGGGCCUUAGGCUGGUGUUGUUCAGAGUUUCUUAACCUGGAGCAUGUGAACUGCCCCUUCCCAGGUUUCAUACUCCCCCAACAGCCACUCCCCCGAUAAUUGCAAACAAAAUGCUGGUGGAGGGUCAGGCCCCUGGGGGCUGCAGGACCUGCCUGGAGUCACUUCUUGCCCCUGCAACACUUGUUUUUUGUUUGACACAGUAUCAAUCUGUUGCCCAGGCUGGAGUGCAGGGGCGCAAUCUCAGCUCACUGCAACCUUUGCCUCUGGGGUUCAAGCGAUUCUUCUGCCUCAGCCUGCUGAGUAGCUGGGAUUACAGGUGCACACCACCACGCCUGGUUAAUUUUUUGUAUUUUUAGGUAGAGACGGUGUUUGCCAUGUUGCCCAGACUUGUCUCGAACUCCUGAGCUCAGGCAAUCCACUGGCCUCGCUCUCCCAAAAUGCUGGGAUCACAGGCGUGAGCCAC